UGUAAAAAAAUGAAGGACGCGCCGGUACCAGAAGGUGAAGAGCCAAAGUCUGCUAUUGAAAUUGUUGAAGAAGUGCUCAAGACCGAAGUCAAGCAAAGCACAUUCCUCAAGAAUGUUGGGGUCCAGUCAUCUAGGAACAACUCCGGCAAAGCAACUGUUGAAGUGGCUACUCAUGUUCAUGAUCUUGAGCAGAAGCUGGAGAGGUCGGAGCUUCAAGCUGAAGUGAUGCAAGAAGAAUUGGCUGCAAUCAAGAUGAAGGCGAAAGAAGCUGGAGCUGCACGCGGCAAGGAACUUUGGCUGCUGCGCAAGAAGUCUCAAGAGCAGGAUGAGAAGUUAGCCCACUUGAUGGCUCUCUUUGGAGCUAAG
rnacentral:rRNA from 1 species